rfam:Salmo salar isolate Sally breed double haploid chromosome ssa03, whole genome shotgun sequence.
UGCAUUCACUACUGUAAGUCACUCUGGAGAAGAGUGUCUGCUAAAUGACUAAAA